rnacentral:ribozyme from 12 species
AAAUAUAAGAAAUUGCCAAGGAAAGAAAGAAAGAAAGAAAAAAAGAUAUUUUUCAUUUAGCGAAAAUCCCAAAACGCAAAAAAGAUUUUCCUCUUUCUUUUAUCUCAUCUCCUUUCCUCCGUCCUUUCUUC